rnacentral:rRNA from 1 species
GAUGAACGCUAGCGGGAGGCCUAACACAUGCAAGCCGAGCGGUAUUGUUUCUUCGGAAAUGAGAGAGCGGCGUACGGGUGCGUAACACGUGUGCAACCUGCCUUUAUCUGGGGGAUAGCCUUUCGAAAGGAAGAUUAAUACUCCAUAAUAUAUUGAACGGCAUCGUUUAAUAUUGAAAGCUCCGGCGGAUAGAGAUGGGCACGCGCAAGAUUAGCUAGUUGGUGAGGUAACGGCUCACCAAGGCGAUGAUCUUUAGGGGGCCUGAGAGGGUGAUCCCCCACACUGGUACUGAGACACGGACCAGACUCCUACGGGAGGCAGCAGUGAGGAAUAUUGGUCAAUGGGUGCAAGCCUGAACCAGCCAUCCCGCGUGAAGGACGACUGCCCUAUGGGUUGUAAACUUCUUUUGUAUAGGGAUAAACCUACCCUCGAGAGGGUAGCUGAAGGCACUAUACGAAUAAGCACCGGCUAACUCCGUG